UACAAACUAUACGGUAUCUGAAGACACGUCGAUUCGAAUUAACAUCAAAUCGACGUCUUAAACAUUAAAAAUAAUAGAUAAACACAAUUUAAUAGUUUUGCCCACUUCUCACACCUCGUUAUGGUAUUUAAUCUAAUUUCCUUCUAAUCUUAGUUUUGCUCAAAAUACAUAUAACAUGUACGUUAUAAAUUGGAGUAUUUCAAUACACAAAUCAAUAGAAGAUUAUUACUGUAUAUAAGUAUAAUUUCAAUACAAUUCGAUCGAUAUAUUUCAGUAUCUUUGAUUAAAAAUUUAACGAUCCUUUCAGGCUGACCGCGGCGGACCACUGCUGAUACAACAUGAAUUAACCUCGUAUUUAAUAGGUAUUGUGUCUUAUGCUUAUAAGUGCGGCACAGCUGGGUAUCCCAGCGUUUACACUAGGGUCACAUCGUACCUUGACUUCAUUCUCCAAGCGAUGCAAUAAUAUGAUAUUACUGUUCCAUAAAUAUCAUUGUGUAAAAAACGUAAAGUUGGAUUUUCUUAUUGUGGAGAUAAGAAACAGCUCAAAUUUACAUUGUUUUGUACGUUACAAAUUAUAGGCUUAAAAUGUACGAAAUGUAACUUUGAAACGACACUAAUUUUUUACGCACGAUAAACCUCCACGACUUAGAUUAUAGAUUCCUAUACGACUCUCAGUAAAAAUUUAUCCGCACUCCAGAUAGUUAAAACUUCUGUCGACCGUAUUGAUCCAUCUGCACUCUUCGUAUGACGUCAAUAUCUGUUCAGUGCUGCUGCGCAGGUUUCUUUGUGUUACGUCAAUUCGUUUGUGACCGUUGCGCGAGUAAUGGCGCUUUGCAAUGGUGAUUUGCAGGAAAACAGUGCAGGAUGCUGUGAUUCGUUUCUUGUGGUCGGAGGUUAUGUUUGAUGCCUAUAUUUAUCAAAGAUUUAAUGCACAUUAUGGAGAAAGUGUUUUGUCACGAAGUGUGUUUGAAUGGGCACAAAAGUUCAAAGAAGAUCGCACGAGUGUUAUGAAAAAACAGCUGGACGCCCGUCCACAUCCACGAUGACAACAUUGAACGUGCUCAUGAACUUAUGCUCUAUGGAAUAGACGAGUGACACUGGAUAAUGUGGCAAAUCAUUUGCAAAUCAGCCACGGCUCUGCUUAUGCAAUAGUGCACGACAGAUUUGGAUUUUAAAAAGUUUGUGCGAGAUGGAUGCCGAAAAAGCUGAUGAAAAGGUGAAGACGACGAUGCAUUCGUGGUUCGCAGCUCAGCCCAAAACAUUUUUUAAUGAGAAAAUACAAAGGUCCUUCGGCAAAUGGACAAAGUGUAUACAGAAAUCGAGUGAUUAUGUCAAAAAAUGAUGUAUGUCUUUUUUGACAAUUGCUUAAAAUAAAUUCUACACCGACAGAGCGGGCUGUUAAUCUAGAGGCUGGAGUACAAAGAAGUGGCACAAUGAUGUGGGCUGAUGACAUUUAUAAUUAUCAAGGAAUCACCCCUACAUUCGCUCAGAAUUUUAAUGAAACUGUCCCUUGGGAAGGAAGAACUGAUACCUUGAUAUCACGGUUUGUACAUCCUAUAUAUACGACAAAUUUUAGAACAUUAUAUAACGAAGAACCAGAUCGUCGUGGCCAUGUGAUGUGAAUAAAAGGACUUGAAUUUGAUGAUAUUUUUAUAAUGUUAGAUAACAUAACUAAGUAUCUUCACAGUAAGAUAGGAUGACAUGGUUUACAUGAUCUUAAUGUUGUUCACUCGAGUGAUGAUAUUAUAAGGAAAAGCGUAAUAUCACAGGAUAUUUAUGUUUAGUAACCAGUAAUUCAGAGAUUGGUAUUCAUGGUUACUAUAACGAGGCUGUAGAAACGCACCCUUUCUUCUUUGCAAAUGGUCCUGUAUUUAUGUCUAAGCCGAAACUGGAACCUCUGAAUAAUUUAGAUUUAUUCUUGUUAUUUUCUAAAAUACUUAUCUACAGUAUACCAUAAGGAAUGAUACCGUAUCGCACCUAAUCAAGUGCCUUAAGAAACAUCAACAGGAUAUCA